rnacentral:rRNA from 1 species
UGGGGAAUCUUGGACAAUGGGGGCAACCCUGAUCCAGCCAUGCCGCGUGAGUGAUGAAGGCCUUAGGGUCGUAAAGCUCUUUCGCCUGUGAAGAUAAUGACGGUAGCAGGUAAAGAAACCCCGGCUAACUCCGUGCCAGCAGCCGCGGUAAUACGGAGGGGGUUAGCGUUGUUCGGAAUUACUGGGCGUAAAGCGCACGUAGGCGGACCAGAAAGUUGGGGGUGAAAUCCCGGGGGCUCAACCCCGGAACUGCCUCCAAAACUAUUGGUCUAGAGUUCGAGAGAGGUGAGUGGAAUUCCAAGUGUAGAGGUGAAAUUCGUAGAUAUUUGGAGGAACACCAGUGGCGAAGGCGGCUCACUGGCUCGAUACUGACGCUGAGGUGCGAAAGUGUGGGGAGCAAACAGGAUUAGAUACCCUGGUAGUCCACGCCGUAAAACGAUGAGUGCUAGUCGUCGGCAGGCAUGCCUGUCGGUGACGCAGCUAACGCAUUAAGCACUCCGCCUGGGGAGUACGGCCGCAGGUUAAAAC